UCCGAGUUAUCCCCGGCAGUCUCCUAUGAGUCCCCGGCCGAACCGCUGGCAACAUAGGACAAGGGUUGCGCUUGUUGCGGGACUUAACCCAACAUCUCACGACACGAGCUGACGACAGCCAUGCACCACCUGUCACGGGCCCUUACGGACACUGUAUUUCUACAGCUUUUCCCGUGAUGUCAAACCCAGGUAAGGUUCUUCGGGUUGCAUCGAAUUAAGCCGCAUGCUCCGCCGCUUGUGCGGGGACCCGUCAAUUCCUUUGAGUUUUAGCCUUGCGGCCGUGCUCCCCAGGCGGGAUACUUAAUGCGUUAGCUUCGGCACGGCAGUCGUUGGUAAGACCGCCACACCAUAUAGGCAUAACAGCGAGUGAUCAUCGUUU
rnacentral:misc_RNA from 1 species